rnacentral:rRNA from 2 species
GCAUAUCAAUAAGCGGAGGAAAAGAAACCAACAGGGAUUGCCUCAGUAACGGCGAGUGAAGCGGCAACAGCUCAAAUUUGAAAUCUGGCCUCGGCCCGAGUUGUAAUUUGCAGAGGAAGCUUUAGGCGCGGCACCUUCUGAGUCCCCUGGAACGGGGCGCCAUAGAGGGUGAGAGCCCCGUAUAGUUGGAUGCCUAGCCUGUGUAAAGCUCCUUCGACGAGUCGAGUAGUUUGGGAAUGCUGCUCAAAAUGGGAGGUAAAUUUCUUCUAAAGCUAAAUACCGGCCAGAGACCGAUAGCGCACAAGUAGAGUGAUCGAAAGAUGAAAAGCACUUUGAAAAGAGGGUUAAAUAGCACGUGAAAUUGUUGAAAGGGAAGCGCUUGUGACCAGACUUGCGCCGGGCAGAUCAUCCGGUGUUCUCACCGGUGCACUCUGCCCGGCUCAGGCCAGCAUCGGUUCUCGCGGGGGGAUAAAGGCGUCGGGAACGUAGCUCCUCCGGGAGUGUUAUAGCCCGUCGCGUAAUGCCCUCGCGGGGACCGAGGUUCGCGCAUCUGCAAGGAUG